UAAUACAGAGGGUGCAAGCGUUGCUCGGAAUCAUUGGGCGUAAAGGGCAGGUAGGUGGUCUGAUUUGUCUGGAGGUGAAAGCCUUGGGCUUAACCCAAGAAGUGCCCCGGAAACGGUCAGACUUUGAGUCUUGGAGAGGGUUGCGGAAUUCCCGGUGUAGCGGUGAAAUGCGUAGAGAUCGGGAGGAACACCAGCGGCGAAGGCGGCAACCUGGACAAGCACUGACACUCAACUGCGAAAGCGUGGGGAGCAAACAGGAUUAGAUACCCUGGUAGUCCACGCCGUAAACGAUGGGUACUAGGUUUGGUGGGUCUUGACCCCCGCCGAACCGGCGCUAACGCACUAAGUACCCCGCCUGGGAAGUACGGUCGCAAGACUA
rnacentral:rRNA from 1 species